UACGUAGGGUGCGAGCGUUAAUCGGAAUUACUGGGCGUAAAGCGUGCGCAGGCGGUUCGUUGUGUCUGAUGUGAAAGCCCCGGGCUUAACCUGGGAAUGGCAUUGGAAACUGGCGAGCUGGAGUGUGGCAGAGGGGGGUGGAAUUCCGCGUGUAGCAGUGAAAUGCGUAGAGAUGCGGAGGAACACCGAUGGCGAAGGCAGCCCCCUGGGCUGACACUGACGCUCAGGCACGGAAGCGUGGGGAGCAAACAGG
rnacentral:rRNA from 1 species